GUGGGGAAUAUUGGACAAUGGGCGAAAGCCUGAUCCAGCCAUGCCGCGUGUGUGAAGAAGGUCUUCGGAUUGUAAAGCACUUUAAGUUGGGAGGAAGGGCAGUAAGUUAAUACCUUGCUGUUUUGACGUUACCGACAGAAUAAGCACCGGCUAACUUCGUGCCAGCAGCCGCGGUAAUACGAAGGGUGCAAGCGUUAAUCGGAAUUACUGGGCGUAAAGCGCGCGUAGGUGGUUCGUUAAGUUGGAUGUGAAAGCCCCGGGCUCAACCUGGGAACUGCAUCCAAAACUGGCGAGCUAGAGUACGGUAGAGGGUGGUGGAAUUUCCUGUGUAGCGGUGAAAUGCGUAGAUAUAGGAAGGAACACCAGUGGCGAAGGCGACCACCUGGACUGAUACUGACACUGAGGUGCGAAAGCGUGGGGAGCAAACAGGAUUAGAAACCCUAGUCC
rnacentral:rRNA from 1 species